rnacentral:rRNA from 1 species
UUCCUACGGGUGGCUGCAGGCGCGAAAACUUUACAAUGCGAGAAAUCGUGAUAAGGGAACCCCGAGUGCCCGUAAAUUCGGGCUGUCCGCCAGUGCAAAAAACUGGUGAAGAAAGAGCCGGGCAAGACCGGUGCCAGCCGCCGCGGUAAUACCGGCGGCUCGAGUGGUGGCCACUAUUACUGGGCUUAAAGCGUCCGUAGCUUGGUUGUUAAGUCUCCUGGGAAAUCCAUCGGCUCAACCGAUGGGCGUUAAGGAGAUACUGGCAACCUAGGGACCGGGAGAGGUGAGAGGUACUCCAGGGGUAGGAGUGAAAUCCUGUAAUCCUUGGGGGACCACCUGUGGCGAAGGCGUCUCACUAGAACGGCUCCGACAGUGAGGGACGAAAGCUGGGGGAGCAAACCGGAUUAGAUACCCGAGUAGUC